GUAGUUGUGUCUGAGUGGUUAAGGCAAUGGACUAGAAAUCCAUUGGGGUUUCCCCAUGCAGGUUCGAAUCCUACUAACUAUG